rnacentral:rRNA from 1 species
GAUGAACGCUAGCGGCAGGCCUAAUACAUGCAAGCCGAACGGCAAGAUUUUCAGCAAUGGAAAUCCUAGAGUGGCGUAAGGGUGCGUAACACGUAUGCAAUCUGCCCUCAACAGGAGGAUAGCUCCCCGAAAGGGGAAUUAAGACUCCAUAAGAUCUUAGAGUGGCAUCACUUAGAGAUUAAACUACCAGGGGUUGAGGAUGAGCAUGCGCAUGAUUAGUUAGUUGGCGGGGUAACGGCCCACCAAGACGAUGAUCAUUAGGGGAACUGAGAGGUUGAUCCCCCACACUGGCGACUGAGAUACGGGCCGACGACUCCUACGGGGAGGCAGCAGUAGGGAAGUAAUUGGACAAUGGGCGCAAGCCUGAUCCAGCGAUGCCGCGUGUGUGAAGAAGGCCU